AGUGACAUCAAGCCGGUGUUUGCAAACUUUGCUAUACUCUACAGGCAACAGUCGAAAGAUUCCGUUCAAUAUGCAUGGAGUAGCAGUCUACUGCAAGAAGGUGGUUAAAGACGUGAUUGCUUUAUUGUGGACAUCCUUAGGAAGAAGUGGGACCGUGUUUGAAAGAAGAGUA